UUUCUCUAUGAGGUCCUACAACCGCAAUCUAGAUCUUGCUACUCCGAUCUACCAGACUCCUGCUCGCCGCCUCCCACCGUCGUGACCUUCCCCGGCCUCCCGCACUUCUCCAGUUCCUCCUCCUUAUUUGCCAUCCCCAUUAGCAGGCAUCACCUUCUCGUCCUCCCUCAUCGGCAUCUCGAGAGGAAGACGACGGUCCUGAUCGCUGGCCAUCUGGGCGGUGGAUUGGCACGCCUCUCACUCCUUGGGUGGCGGAUGUACUGAUGGGUUGCGGCCCCAGCAGUCCAGCAGCCGUUGGGAUUUCACGCCGUUGUGACCAGACAAUACAUGUAGGAAGAUGCUCCUGAUGUUUGCGUUUCUCUAAUCUGUAGCACAGGUAUGGAGAAGCAGCAGUGCUAGGUGUGGUGGAUCUGUACUGCUUCUAACGGAGGUUUGAACCAGAAUUGUGUAAUUGGUUUUUUUCUUCUCAUCGAUUAGUAGUGAUACUCGGUUUGAAACAACACUAGUGAUUUUGGUUGACUUAAGCAAUACACGAUAUGUCCAUCAUGUAGUAACUUGUUUGAUACUGGUGAUCUGCUAGAGCAGGUGUGCUUCUUUGUUUCCAUUUUGAUCCCUAAUGUGUACUAGACAAGCUGAACAUCACGCAUUGGAGAUUUGGGUCUGGUAGUAAUUACGGGAGAUGUGGAAUUACGUGAUUGUGUGUGUGCCUUGCAUGUAUUGUGCCUAUGUGAUGUGGUUCUAGGUGCCAAUUCAUUGCUAUUUUUAGCUAAUCUAUUGUAUUGUAUUACACAUUUCCUCUUAGGUUUCUCGUCCUCAAAUAUGGAUAAUUGAAGCCAAAAAGUACACCGAUUGUAACCAGAAGACAUGCGGGAUGGACUAGAGGUUUCCUGAUCUACUAUUAUGAUUGUGUGAUCCAUUCCUCACUCUAUAGAUGAUUGAAGUCGGCUGGAGCUAGGAAGGCCACCAGCAAGUGAAGCAUUACUUGUCACUAUAUCCUAAUGUGAGGUAAAUUUAAAAAGACUAUUGUAUGGUCAACAUCCAUAUAUCAAGAAUCCAAGGAGGCAUGAAGAAGGCAUAAUGAAUGGUUUCACUUUAUUUCUUAGGUUUAGUUUGAUAAAAAAUGUGACCUGGGACAUAUGGAUAGCCAGAUGAAUCAAUGUUCAAUUUUCAUUUUCUAUCAGGUUGAUAUAUGUA